rnacentral:lncRNA from 1 species
UGAAAAAAAAAAAAAAAAAAAAAAGUUUUAAAGUGCUGCUUGUUGAAGAAAGGGUCCAAAACAUAGAAUUCGGCCCUAAUUAUUGCUUGAAUUUUCCCUUCGUGUCUAAAAGCUAAUUUCUGCAAUCUAAGUGAAUUCUAAGUUUCAAUUUCAUUACUUUACUUGCUAUUGCUUUAAGAACGAUUGUUAUCCUUAUCCUUCAUUUGUUAGCCAUCACCCCAAGCCCCGUUACAACCCUUAGCUUCAUCUUGAGUGUCAUGCGUUUCAAUAUGUGGAGUUUGAAUUUGGUAUGAGCAUAUGGUGUCACUGGUUCUC